ensembl:snoRNA
GUGGUGUGCUCAGAGCAGGGGCCCUGAAGAAACGGCUUACUGUUUACAACACACCCAACAGGAAUCUGGGUUCAUUGUGACAGGAGACACAAAAUAUGUGGCCUUUCCGUGAACAAGUACCCAACACAU